rnacentral:tRNA from 1 species
GGUUGUGGCUCAGUGGCAGAGCACUCACCUAGCAUGUGCAAGGCCCUGGGUUCAAUCCUUAGCACCA